ensembl:lncRNA
CUAGGACUUUCUGAAGGGCAAGCUCAACCUCAAUCCCUAGGACGAUGCUUGCUUGGCAGGAACCGAGGGCUAAUGAAUGGUGGUUGAGGGACUGCAGGGAUGAGUGAGUGAGGGUGCCUGAGCCCGGGAUUCCCACCAAACGAGGAGCUCCCGGAGGUCCAGGCGUGCGGCUACGGAAUCAUCACGUCUCCGGCGUCUCCGUGUUGGCCGUGGGGCAGAAACACACCGGCUGUGUUCCAUGGAGAUGCACUUCCACAAGGACUCCAGAUCGCUUGGAGACAGCCACGCCAUCCCGCUGUAGACACCAGGAAUGCCAGAUGGUUGAGUGUGGCAGCCACCGUUUCCUUUAGAAGUGGCUUCAAGCAGUGCUCUCUGAGGUCUGAUCACAGUGCUACUUGGCUCACUUGCGAUGCCCCUGUGUUCCAUGCGUCACCAUCCUUGGGUUCUUGGAACAGCUCUUGGUACCAAGUACUGUACUGAUCAGGGUCUGAUUGAGAAAAAGGAAAGCACACACUUAUUUUAAGGAAUAAUUAACAUGAGAAAAUUGUCAAUUAAUAUUGAAGGACUGAAAAAGUGAAGGAAUCACACCGAGCGGCCGUGAGAUGGGAACCGCCACGAGUGCUCUUGGCUCUAGGACUGCAGUGCAAAGAGAAGACUUGGGGGCUGGGAGAGCCUUCCAGAGUCAGGGAGGAACCUGGGGAAACUGAGACUGUGCAGCUGAUUCUGGCCUCAGGGUCUUGCAGGAGGGGUCCUAUGGACUGGACACCAGACAUCAAAGAGGGGGAUUUUCCUGGUGGGCGUGGUUUGCAGAAGGGGCCUGAUAAGGCUGCUUUGGGAGCACUAAAAGGAAAGCAGUGGCGGGCAUUUGCACAGCAGUGAAGAUGUUGCUUGGGACGCUUGCAUCCCAUGUUUGAGGGCUUAGGUUUGAGUCCUGGUUCCACUUGCGAUUUCAGCUUCCUACUAACGUGUGCUCUUGGAGGCACCCGGUGAUGGCUCAAAUACGUAGGUUCUUGACAUCCAUGUGGGAGACCCAGAUUGAAUUCUGGACUCCUGGCCUCACCCUGGCCCAGUUGCAGCAGCUAUGGUAGGCAUUUAGGGAAUAAACCAAUGGAAGAAAAAUCUCUCUCUCUCUCU